AUUGAACGCUGGCGGCAUGCCUUACACAUGCAAGUCGAACGGCAGCAUGGAGAGCUUGCUCUCUGAUGGCGAGUGGCGAACGGGUGAGUAAUGCAUCGGAACGUACCGUGUAAUGGGGGAUAACGUAGCGAAAGUUACGCUAAUACCGCAUACGACCUGAGGGUGAAAGCAGGGGAUCGCAAGACCUUGCGUUAUACGAGCGGCCGAUGUCAGAUUAGCUAGUUGGUGAGGUAAAGGCUCACCAAGGCGACGAUCUGUAGCGGGUCUGAGAGGAUGAGCCGCCACGCUGGGACUGAGACACGGCCCAGACUCCUACGGGAGGCAGCAGUGUGGAAUUUUGGACAAUGGGGGCAACCCUGAUCCAGCCAUGCGGCGUGAGUGAAGAAAGCCUUCGGGUUGUAAAGCGCUUUCGGCCGGGAAGAAAUCGCACAGGCUAAUACUCUGUGUGGGUGACGGUACCGGCAUAAGAAGCACCGGCUAACUACGUGCCAGCAGCAGCCGCGG
rnacentral:rRNA from 1 species